rnacentral:rRNA from 1 species
AUGCGACAACUAGAUAUGAAGAACGCGUUUUUGCAUGGUGUUCUGGAAGAAGAAGUGUUUAUGAGGCAGCCUCCUGGGUAUGAGGAUUCAGCUUUACCACGACAUGUUUGCAAGCUUGAUAAGGCAAUUUAUGGUUUGAAACAAGCACCCAGAGCUUGGUAUUACCGUUUGUACUCCAAACUACAGUCUCUUGGUUUUUCUGCUUCUAAGGGAGAUACCUCGUUGUUCUUUUAUCAUCGACAUGGAGUAACCAUCUUCAUGCUGAUUUAUGUCGAUAAUAUUAUUGUCACCAGCUCCUCUCCUAGAGCAGUUGAUGCCCUUCUUCAGGAUCUGCACAUGGACUUUGCACUCAAGGAUUUGGGCAGCCUUCAUUUUUUUCUUGGGAUCGAGGUGAAGCAGGUGGCUCGUGGCAUUGUUCUCUCUCAAGAAAAAUAUGUCCAAGAUAUCCUUGAGCGGGUGGGCAUGAAAGGUUGCAAACCUUCUCCAACCCCUCUGUCUACCUCAGAGAAGUUGUCUCUUCAUGAUGGAGAGGCCCUUGGAGCUGAAGACUCCACUAGGUACAGAAGUGUGGUUGGAGCUUUACAGUAUUUGACUUUAACCCGGCCUGAUAUAUGUUUUUCAGUCAACAAAGUUUGCCAAUUUCUUCAUGCACCUACUAGUACUCAUUGGACAGCAGUGAAAUGCAUCCUUCGGUAUCUUCAGGCAACCAAGAGUCAUGGUCUUACACUUGCCAAAUCAGAUUCUACACUGGUUAGUGCCUUUUCAGAUGCAGAUUGGGCAGGUUGUCCUGAUGAUCGGCGGUUCACUGGAGGCUUUUGCAGUGUUCUUUGGUGGAAAUCUGGUUUCUUGGAGUGCACGUAA